rnacentral:lncRNA from 1 species
AAAAAAAAAAAAGACAAAAGAAUAGGAAAUUUAAAAAAAAUUACUUAAUCUACUGAAUUCAAUUAAAACAUACCCAAACAGGGAUCCCAACCUCAGGCUCCAGGUCAUUCUGUCCAAAGCUAUAAACUGGGUCUGUUUAUCAUUACUAAUUAACUAUGGUGGUAAUUUGCAGUAGUGUCUUGUUUUUCACUGGUAAAAGUGAUUCAAUUUCAUUUUACACAACUCAGAAGAUAGGGAAAAAAACACUUCUAAUUUCAUGGUUCACCCUCAAACAUCACCACUUUUAUCAUUUUGGGGACUAACUCUUAGCAUGCAGUCUGCCAUUAAAUUAAAGAAGGUAAAUGAAGAUUUCUUGUCCAUGCUUUUGUUUUAAAGCUUCAUAAUUCCUACUGCAGACCUGAAGCUUUACCACAAGAGGGCACCAAUGCACAGCAUGGUUCUACUACUGGCUAGCAAACACAGUGCUGUUGGAGACUUAUUACCCUUAGUAAUCUGACCCAUUUUUAGGAACACUUUAGACUUUAAUACUUUACUAAACAUAAACUAGAAACAGCUUUACUCCAGCCUCCUUCAAAGGUUGAUAUAUUUAAAUAUUUUAGAGCAAUCGCUGAGUCUACGCUUGCAACACUAAAUACACUCAGAGAGGUGCAAGAAUUUUGACCUCCCACAGAGAAGCAUGAUUAGUCCCACUGAGACUAGCAAAGAAUGGUUUGGUCAAAUCUUUCUCAUUAGCAUUCCUCUCAUUAGGAUUUCAGCAAAACUUCUUCCUUUCCUGUGAGUCUGAAUGGUGCAAAAUCCCUGAAUUUAGAUUUUCCACAUCUUAAACCAGCUCACUAUUCCUUUCUUACCUGUAUGGCUCAGACCUUUGAACCAGUCUCUGCUCCAUGUGAAAAAUACUGCCAGAUGCUCAAGCCCACCUCAUUUUCACAACUAGUCAGUAACCUACACCUUGGUGGGUCAGUCACAUCUCUCCCUGCAUUGUUUGCUUUCCAAAAGUUAAUUUUAUUUGUUCCCAACUUUGUUUAUGCAAUUUGUAGUUAGUAAUUACAUAAUUCAAUUAAAAAUUUAAAAAUCAAAAAUCAGUAUGAAAAACAAUUUUGAGGGUGAAUAAAGCUGUAACCUUUAUGAAAAUAAGUUUAGUGUUUGGGAAAGGUCUAAUAAAGACUUUUUUAAAUGCUGUGGAAUUAGGGGUAGGCAAAACACUGUGAAAAUUUGAAUGGAGGAGAGGGGAGCACCAAAAUAUAGAAGGCUUUUGUUCCUAUUUUGCUUCAUAAAUGUUUUGAGUCCUCACUCCACUGAAACUGAAAUUGAUAAUGACUCUUGCUGUGUUAAUAGAUGUCUUACAAGCAGUCCCAUCAGCAGGCCCACAUUCCACGUUUUUAGCUUGACACCAAAGGAACAAUGGGUAAAUGUUUUGCUGUAUCUGUUUUAAAUUUAAAAUAAAAUUUUGAUGAUAUAUAUUAUCAUUUCAUGAAUGCCUGUUCUAGAAAGCUGACUUUUCCAUUUAACUCACUACAGAUUCUGUCUGGGUAGGGAAGCAAGGCUUCUAAGGCAUAGCUUCGGAAUUGGC